AUACACUGACAACUGACAUCAUGACGUCCAAGUAUGUCAAGUGCCCCAUCUGUGGCCGACCUUUCGCGGCGCUUUCACAUCACCUGAAAAGGUCCCACAAGGUGGUGCACCCAGAAGAGCGUCAGCUUCUUUUGAAGCUGGCAAGUAAGAGGGUUUUUUACCGGUACGAGGCCUGCCCCGUCCCUGGCUGCCGGUACCACUCCUCCAGGUGUGACAAACACCUGGAAACCUGCCACCCUGAGCUCACUAAGGAGCAGAUGGAACGUGUCGUACAGUCGGUUCAGAGAAAGGUCACCGUCCGCUGGCUGGCAGCCCUCAGGGCCACUGCCCCUCACCCUCCCAUGGUGAGCCAGCUGGACCAGGAGGACGACACUGACAUCUGGCCUGAUGAGGAUGCAGAACCGCAGGCCAACUGUCAGGGUUGCAUCACCCUCCAGCGGAAGUACGAGGGUGUCAAGCUGCAGCUGGACAACCUCCGAAAGACCUUCCGCCUGUACCACCGGAGGGUGGCCAAGUUUGAGAGGAGGACUGGGAGUAAAAUAACCAAAAACCUCCCUCUUCCGGAGGAGCAGGUUCACGUCCGUCCGUCCACGUCACGUGGACCGAAGCAGCGGCCGGGAGGACGUUCGGAUGCAGCUGUGAGACGCCCGCCCUCCAAGCAGGCUGGAGAACCGCGGUCCGGACGGACUAAGGAAAGACAGGCCAGAAGAAGGGUGGCCACCCCAUCACCACCUUCCUCGCCAACAUCAUCUUCCUCAGCACCCUCCUCCACUUCACCACCACCCUCCCGCCAAUCGCCACCACCAUCACCACCCUGGCAAUUAUCACCAUCACCACCCUGGCAAUUAUCACCAUCACCCUCCCCACCACCACCACCAUCACCACCCUGGCAAUUAUCACCAUCACCACCCUGGCAAUUAUCACCAUCACCUUCCCCACCACCAUCACCGUCCCGCCACCCAUCCAAACAUAAAACGCCCCCGGUUUCUUUGGAGUCAGAGAAAAGACUGGCCGGCAGCGUGGCCCCCUCCUCUGGCCGGAGGGAAGGACCGGACUCUCCUCCGCCGGCCAAGAGGAUCCAUAAAACACGCCACACCGGUGGCAGCCCGUCACCAGAGGAGUCCCCCGAGGAGUCCCAGCCGCCACGCAAGGGGGGAAAGACACCUCGCCAGAGUCCCGCCUCGCUGCUGUCAGGCUUCUCCUCAGCAAUGGAAGAUUACCUGGACGACUAUCGGACUUUCCUCCGAGGGUUACACCAGUCCAAAAAACAUAUAGACAACGUGGCCUCCAAGGUCAUGAGGAUCAGGAGGUUCCUUAACUUCAUGGCGGUGGGGGCCCUUCGGCUGUGGGACUGGAGCUUCCUGACACGGACGGAGCGCAUCAUGGAGUGGGUUGGUCACCUAAAGAGGUGCGGGAAGAAGGUGACCACCGUCACCUUCUACCUCAGGAACGUUUAUUCCUUCUUCCGCUACUUUAAAGAAACACCGCCACGUAAUUGCCGGCUGAAGGGGUCGCAGAUUACGGCAGUGCUGCGUUCCAUUUUGCAGUGCAUCUCUCCUCUCCUAAGAGACGUGGGCAUGCACCAGAUGAAGGUGAAGGAGGCCAAGCAGAUGCGGGUCAUCUCCGUGGCCGACCUCAACCUCUGCCAGCAGCGCUGCCGUGAAGCUAUUCCUCAGCUGCUGGAACGUCUGGAGAAGGAACCGACGGACCACAAAGUCCGCUACCGGUUCUUCGGGUUCUUGGCGGCAUUCAUCUCCUCAAUCUACGGCCACAGGACGGGCGUCAUCUCCAACAUGACGGUGAAGGAGGUGACGAAUGCCCGCAAGAAGGCCAAAGAGGAUAGCCCCGGCUUUGUCAUCAACAUCGCACACCACAAAACCAACAGGUUUUUUGGAUAUGCGCAGGUCUUCCUGAAGCCUGAUGAGUUCGCCUGGAUGGAGAGGUGGCUGGCCGUAAGACAGAAGCUGAAGCCGGAAGGGGACCUGGUGUUCUUUGGAGCUACGGCACAGCCUAAUAAGAACCUGGUCCACUUUCUGCAGACGGCGUGGGAGGAGAUGGGGCUCUCAGGGAAGCCCACCUUCACGGACCUCAGGACCGCCAUAGCAUCACAUGCUAAGGAAAGGCACAUACCCCAGGUCCGUGAAUUAAUAUCUGCGGCCAUGUGCCACGACGUUCGCACGGCGGACAAAUUUUACACUGUCUUUUUGGACCCGGUGAAGUGCGCCGCCAUGCGGGACAUGUUUGAAGAGGCCACAUCUACCCAGGGCUCUACCCGGGAGGCCCCGGCUCCUUUUGACAUACCGUUCACAUCACAAAGUGUUCCCGGAACUGUGGACACCUCCGGCCUCACUUCUCAGCUCCCUCCACGUAGGAAGGCCCAGCGGCGGGAGAAAACCCCGACAGAAACAGCGUCGGAAGGGCACGUCAGCUACCAGGAGAGUGGUAGCUCUGAGUCUGCGGAGGACGAAGAAGACGACAACCAUCCUGGUCAAAGCACACCUGUCCAAGGUGCACAGCCGGAGCCGAUCGCCCCAGAGCUGACAGUCGAACCUUCUGAGGCUUGACAACCAGAGGAGCCUGAGCCGUCCCUGGGGCCAUCUCUAAGAACCAGACGAAGGCCCAAGUUAGUGUUAAUUGUUAAUUUCAUAUUUUUGAUCAUUUUCUGUUUUCCUAUUUGGAAAUAACUAAUCAAUGGCUUCUGUUUUCCUACACACAGCGGCGUCAGUAUCCAGGGUGGUCCUGAGCCCGCUUAAAAUUACAGCCAAGUAAAAGAAGGACCAGGCAAGGCGGAUGCUCCGUUUUAAGUACAAGGUUUCUUUGUAGCUGUGUUUGACAAUAAUUUACAUUUCAUUUAGUUAGAUUACAGCCUGUUGCACUUUUUUUUUUAUCAUGCUUAUGCCAUUGUCAGAUUUUGUUUGGUUUGUUUUUUAGUACUUGUCUUUGCUAAUAAAGCAGUGUUUGAAAACAUUCGGUUUGGUUUUUCACACUCACUUACCAGUCAUUUACUACACUUUGACCUUUUCCAUUAUAAUGUAGGUUAAAUGGCAAACGUUUGACAUUUUCCCUACAAAUGUAGGUAAAGUAGCAAUUAUUUGCCAUUUGCUUAACAAAUGCCAACAAAAUGGCAGAAAUUUGUCAUUUUACAUACAAAUGUAAAGAAAAUGACUGUCAUUGUCCAAACAAAUGUAGUGAAAAUGGCAAUGAUCUGCCAUUUGAUGGAUAAGUGUAGGGAAAAUGGCAAUAAUUUGCCGUUUGCCAGGCAAAUGUAGGGAAAAUGGCUACCAUUUGCCAUUUUAUGGACAAAUGUAGUAGACUGGCAAGCCAGACUAAAUAAAUGUAUUAUUUAGUGUAUUAUUUAGUCCAGUGGUUCCCAAACUUAUUUAGCCGCGCACCCCCUUCUAUGUCCCGACCAAGUCGACGCACCCCCCAGCCCCCACAUCAGGGCAUGGCUAUAUAUAUAUAUAUAUUAGGGCUGGGACUUGAUUAAAAAAAUUAAUCUAAUUAAUUACAGGCUUUGUAAUUAAUUAAUCUCGAUUAAUCACAUUUUAAUCGUUCAGGAAAAUACGCUCUCAAAGUAAAACUUUUAAUUAAAAUUAUGAGACAGAGAAUCAAACAUUAGACAUGGUUAUUACUGUAAACUAAAGCUUUUAAUAAAAUGCAUUUUAGUUAUUCACAUGUCACUGUGUGAUAUGAAACAAAACCCAAAUCAACUAAAAUUUAUAAUUACAAAUAGAAAACACCUGCAAAUGGUUCCUGAGCCUUUAAAUAGUCUCUCUGUCUAGUUGAAUGACUGAAAUUAAUUUGACUUUGCACCAGAUUCUAAUUUUUCCAGUUUCACUUGUUUGUAUAAUUGGGAGAUUUUAUUAGCAUUUCUGCUCAUAAUAUAGUAAAAACACAUAAAUAAUAAUCCUUCAAAAUGACAGUAGAACAGGCACAGAUAUGAUCUAGGACUUAAAUGUACUAACUUUUAACACCAGAGCAGGCAUGGCAUAUUCUGAGAAUGAUCAGGAACACUAACUGGUUCCAGUUGGAUGACUGGAGGUUGAUGGGAAGAUAAAAGAUCAUGGCGAGGAAAUAAUGAUCUGACGAACAGGUGAGCGGACCUUCCUUACAUGGGAAGUCCUGAUGUCACGUUAAGAAGGGGAUGCUGCAGACCCGCAGAUUCACGCCUGCAGCAGCGAAUCUGGUGUGAUCUCCAGCCUGA
ensembl:lncRNA